AUACGUAGGGGGCAAGCGUUAUCCGGAAUUACUGGGUGUAAAGGGAGCGCAGACGGCUAAGCAAGUCUGAUGUGAAAGUCAUGGGCUCAACCCAUGGAUUGCAUUGGAAACUGCGAAGCUGGAGUGUCGGAGGGGUAAGCGGAAUUCCUGGUGUAGCGGUGAAAUGCGUAGAUAUCAGGAGGAACACCGGUGGCGAAGGCGGCUUACUGGACGAUCACUGACGUUGAGGCUCGAAAGCGUGGGGAGCAAACAGGAUUAGAUACCCUGGUAGUCCACGCGGUAAACGAUGAAUACCAUGUGUCGGGGGGCGAAGCUCUUCGGUGCCGAAAGCAAACGCAGUAAGUAUUCCACCUGGGGAGUACGGUCGCAAGAAUGAAACUCAAAUGAAUUGGCGGUG
rnacentral:rRNA from 1 species